GUGUAGACCAACUCGCUAAGCAACGACCUGCAAACGGGCAUCCGAGCAAAAAAAACAGGAACCACAUUAUUAUCGAGUGUCUUUGCAAUGUUCCCGACGAUAUUUCUGCACCGUCUUAACUGAUUUCAUCGAAGUCACCGUCUCUCCAGACAUCGGCUACAGAAAACAAACAAGAAAUUAAUGCAUCUUGCUGCGCGGUGCUGUUUGUUUUGACCUGUGCAGAUAUUAGGGAAUCCUGCAAGGGGGAUUAGCGGUCCGUCAAUGAGGAACUACCGGCUCAUCUUCUGCCACAACCUGAAGCAGCCAUAGAGGGUUUGGUGGUUCACUGGCUAGAGGGGGAGAGCAUAGGAUACACUUUCACUGCUGCACGACGUGAGGUCUUGGCGGGGUUGUGGUGAGGAGGAGGCCAUGAGGAAGAGCGUGUCUCCGUUGCCAAGGCAACGAGGCGGGAGCUCAGCAAGGCACUUCGCGUGUUUUUGGGCGUUCCUCUGGAGGAUGUGAGCGGCGCACACACACUCCGCGGCCAAAAUGAGGUUGCCUGCGCCUGGGUGAAACACAUCGUCGACUUACAUUGAAGAGCAGGUCACCUGGACCUGGAGGGGCUCUUCCUUGUGAAUGGCAACGCAGAGCGCGUGGAUUGGCUGCGGCAGCGCUACGACAGCGGGGAGGAGGUGGCGCUGCAGAAGGAGGCGGACCUGGCGUCUGCGGUCAGUUUGCUGCGGCUCUUCCUGCAGGAGCUUCCUGAGCCCGUUAUCCCAACAGCGAUACAGGGACACAUCCUGCAGCUCCACC